rnacentral:rRNA from 1 species
CAGCCGCCGCGGUAAUACGUAGGUGGCAAGCGUUGUCCGGAAUUAUUGGGCGUAAAGCGCGCGCAGGUGGUUUAAUAAGUCUGAUGUGAAAGCCCACGGCUCAACCGUGGAGGGUCAUUGGAAACUGUUAAACUUGAGUGCAGGAGAGAAAAGUGGAAUUCCUAGUGUAGCGGUGAAAUGCGUAGAGAUUAGGAGGAACACCAGUGGCGAAGGCGGCUUUUUGGCCUGUAACUGACACUGAGGCGCGAAAGCGUGGGGAGCAAACAGGAUUAGAUACCCCUGUAGUCCCUGUCUCUUAUAC